UUUUCUUUUUUUUCUUUUUCUUUUUCUUCUUCUUUUUGGACUUUUUCACAA
rnacentral:ribozyme from 11 species